rnacentral:rRNA from 1 species
GACGAACGCUGGCGGCGUGCUUAACACAUGCAAGUCGAACGGAAAGGCCCUGCUUUUGUGGGGUGCUCGAGUGGCGAACGGGUGAGUAACACGUGAGUAACCUGCCCUUGACUUUGGGAUAACUUCAGGAAACUGGGGCUAAUACCGGAUAGGAGCUCCUGCUGCAUGGUGGGGGUUGGAAAGUUUCGGCGGUUGGGGAUGGACUCGCGGCUUAUCAGCUUGUUGGUGGGGUAGUGGCUUACCAAGGCUUUGACGGGUAGCCGGCCUGAGAGGGUGACCGGCCACAUUGGGACUGAGAUACGGCCAAGACUCCGACGGGAGGCAGCAGUGGGGAAUAUUGCACAAUGGGAGGAAGCCUGAUGCAGCAACGCCGCGUGCGGGAUGACGGCCUUCGGGUUGUAAACCGAUUUCGCCUGUGACGAAGCGUGAGUGACGGUAAUGGGUAAAGAAGCACCGGCUAACUACGUG